GACAGAGGGUGCAAACGUUGUUCGGAAUUACUGGGCGUAAAGCGUGUGUAGGCGGCCUUAUAAGUCGGAUGUGAAAGCCCAGGGCUCAGCCCUGGAAGUGCACUCGAUACUGUAAGGCUCGAGUACUGGAGAGGUUGGUGGAAUUCUCGGUGUAGAGGUGAAAUUCGUAGAUAUCGAGAGGAACACCGGUGGCGAAGGCGGUUCUCUGGGCAUUACCUGACGCUGAGGAGCGAAAGCAUGGGGAGCGAACAGG
rnacentral:rRNA from 1 species